GAUGAAGAACGUAGCGAAAUGCGAUAAGUAGUGUGAAUUGCAGAAUUCAGUGAAUCAUCGAAUCUUUGAACGCACAUUGCGCCCCUUGGUAUUCCAUGGGGCAUGCCUGUUCGAGCGUCAUUUGUACCUUCAAGCUCUGCUUGGUGUUGGGUGUUUGUCUCGCCUCUGCGUGUAGACUCGCCUCAAAACAAUUGGCAGCCGGCGUAUUGAUUUCGGAGCGCAGUACAUCUCGCGCUUUUCACUCAUAACGACGACGUCCAAAAGUACAUUUUUACACUCUUGACCUCGGAUCAGGUAGGGAUACCCGCUGAACUUAAGCAUAUCAAUAAGCGGAGGA
rnacentral:misc_RNA from 1 species